rnacentral:rRNA from 1 species
GAGUUUGAUUCUGGCUCAGGAUGAACGCUGGCGGCGUGCUUAACACAUGCAAGUCGAACGAAGCGCCUUAUUUGAUUUUCUUCGGAACUGAAGAUUUGGUGACUGAGUGGCGGACGGGUGAGUAACGCGUGGGUAACCUGCCCUGUACAGGGGGAGUAACAAUCAGAAAUGACUGCUAAUACCGCAUAAGACCACAGCACCGCAUGGUGCAGGGGUAAAAACUCCGGUGGUACAGGAUGGACCCGCGUCUGAUUAGCUGGUUGGUGAGGUAACGGCUCACCAAGGCGACGAUCAGUAGCCGGCUUGAGAGAGUGAACGGCCACAUUGGGACUGAGACACGGCCCAAACUCCUACGGGAGGCAGCAGUGGGGAAUAUUGCACAAUGGGGGAAACCCUGAUGCAGCAACGCCGCGUGAGUGAAGAAGUAUUUCGGUAUGUAAAGCUCUAUCAGCAGGGAAGAAAGUGACGGUACCUGACUAAGAAGCCCCGGCUAACUACGUGCCAGCCG